UCGUGAGGUUUUAAUCAUUUAGUCAAGGAUAUAUAUGAAUUUCAUGUUGGAAUGGCUCAACAUAAGGAAAUUCUGUAUAUGGGUCCAUUAUUUGCGUUCUAAAAUUCGAUUAUGAUUACGGCAUCCCUUUUCAUAAUCUGAAUUAUGAGAACUUGGCAAAUUGAAAUGGAAAUAUUAUAGCAAAAGACUGGUUUAGUCUUUAUGUAAGACAUCAUGAAUCGUGUCCCAUAUGCUUCGGAUAUAGGAUCGAUUACAUGUGCUAUAUUCAUCCGUUCUAAAAUUUUCCAAAUGCCUGGGGCAUUAAGAAGGGAAAAGGUUUAGAACUGGAUAUGACUAAAAGGAUUAAACAAUUGUCGAGGACAAUCUAAGGUUUACCAAAGAUUGGUUACUCAAGGACAAUUGGAAGUAUAGUGAUAAUUCUGGAAGGACCAUAUUGACAUAAUCUGUAAGGAGGCAACUCUUGUUCAGAAGUGAUAGUCAAAAUGGAAUCUGGAAAUGUUUCAAAGUUAGAAUUUUCAAUCUGUGUAAGAUUAAGGAAACUUAAUGCAAGAAGGAUAUUUCCAAGGAGUUGAUCUCCUUUGGAAUACUCUGUAAUGAUUGUUGCCAAGUCUUUGUGACUUUGUGCAUAAUCAUUACAAGAGGAUCAAUGCAUAUAAGUUUAGAAUCUAACAGAUUUCAGUAAAUGGCAUGAAUUUGGAAUUCUUGCAUUUGCAGUAAGGAUUUGGGAGUGUGAAAAGAGAAUCAUUGAAGUUAUGUUCAAUUGAUCUAGUUCACAAAGUAAAGAUCAUAGACAAACAUAGUAUGCAUACUUGGUGUGUGGCAUGACUAGUGUUUAAGAAAACAUAGUGUACAUGCUUGGAGCAUGGGACAACUAUUGUUUUAAAUUCAAGAAUAAAGUUGAUAGCUGAAACAGUAUACAAUGAAUAAUGUGUAAUCAUAUGGUGAUAAAUAAAAGGUGUUUUAUUUAUGUUCAAAGGGUUGAUACCAUAUUGGAUUCAAUUAUUAUUGUGUUUCAUUUUGCAUGUUUUGACUUCCCGAAUAAACUGGGUUAUUCUUCCGGAAUGACUAAGUUAUUCAAACCAUCCACAGUCGGUCAUAUGUUGGAAGUAGAUAUGAAUUAAGACUGUCAUGGGUUGGCUUGUAGAGGUCUAAGGUGUUGGACAAAGGGCUACAACACUCAUGAGUGCUCAUAAGUUCUGAGUAUUGGAUUCAACCCGCGCUCAUUGGAAUCACUUCAUGGAUUUUAUCACGAGUGAUCAUGAGACGAUAAUAUCUUAUAUUCUUCAAACCUAGAGAUAUGAGUUGUUACUAUGAGUUGAUAGUACAUUGAUUGCACGAAAACGCAUUUGGUAACUCGGUGCUAUAAAACGUGCCUUUGUGUAUGAUUCAACAAGUAGUAGAACAAGCCAUAUGAGUCGAAGUUUAUCCAUUCCUUUUACCUUCGGGAUAAAAGCGAUAUCUGUGGGCCCCUCGAUGAUUUGAUGAUGACAAAUGGAAGUGCUCGGCCGGGCCAGGACUGAUUUGAUUUGUUCAAUUAGUCAGUCGUCAUAAAUCGGAAAUCGGGAAACAACAAAUGGACAGAGAGAAUGAUUAUAAUCCAUGUCUCAGUCCAUAUGAUAUCUAGAAUGGAGGAAUAUAUGAUCCCUUAUCUAAUGGACAAGUCAUUGACAAAGGUCAGAGUUCAUCUACAAGGUCAGAGUUCGACAGAAGCUUUUGAGAGCUACGAUUGCCAGUUGGUUCCUGAAGUCAUACGCAAUAAUAGUUUUAGACUUAUCCAAGUGGGAGACUGUUGGAUUAAUGUCUAAGUCCAUAACUAUAAUUGGUAAGACUUGACCCGACCCGGCAUGGUCCAUUUGGGUUGCAUACCAUCAUGCACUUGGAUAGACUAUAAUGAGAGAAAUAAGACACUUAUGGUUAUUAAUAUAUUAUAAGUUCUAGUAUAUUAAUAAUAAGAAUAAUAAGAUUAUUUAAUUAGUAUUGAUCAAGAAUUAAUCUAGGAUUAAUUAAGUGAUCAAAAGAAGACUAAUUAAAUAUAUGGGUUGAUUGUGUAAAUCAUCCAUACUUGUAUAGUGGGCUAAUGCUCCAUGGAUAAUCAAGUUGGGCUAAAACCCAUAGGAUGGUCCAUGGAUGCUCCAUGGUGUAUUUGUACCCAUGGAUCCAAGGAAAUGGAAAGCCAUGACAAUUAAGAGUUUACCCUAAUUGUGUAACUAUAUAAGCAUCUUAUUAUUGAGGAAAAAUCGGCCACUAGUGAUAGUGAAGAAAGGGCUAGCCGAUUUUGAAGAGUGUAGAAUUCUCUCAAGUCAUUCCAAGUGUUUUGAUGAUUGUGAUUCCAUUUGAGGUGUCACACUUGGGGCACUAGGCACUCAAGCUUCAUGAAGACUUUCUACAUCAAAGAGGUAUGUAUUCUAUCUUGUUAUAGUCAUUGUUUUGUAUGCUAGAUUAGGAUAAUACCUUGGAAGUUCUUAUUUGCAUGUAUAAUAGAGAAAACAUAGAUCCAAGGUAUUUAGGGUUGCAUGUACACUUAGGAGUGUUAGAAUGCUCAAAACCCAACAGUGGUAUCAGAGCCUAGGCUUGUUUUCUUGUUAUACCUGCAAUAGAAGCUGAAAAAACGAAUCUGGUGCUGUCUGGCCAUCAGACUCGGCGAGUCCAUCAGGAGACUCGACGAGUCCAUGCCUAAAAAGUGAUGAAUUCGAUCCAACUCGCCGAGUUUGUUCAUGCACUCGACGAGUUGGACCCCCAGACAGCAUAUUUUCGAGUUUUUUGGCUAGAAAUGGACUAGGAACAUUACCCUAAGUUGUUUUUGAACUUAUAAACUUGUUUUUGAUGUGGUAAUGUUCAUGCUAAUCCAUUUUCAAAGAUAAUUGUCAAUAGAUUCAUGUUUUGUAUUAGUUUAAGGUUUAGACUAAUUACAUGAAAAAGUUUGAUUUGAAUUAUCUUGUUCUUAUGAGUUGCUUAGAUUAAUAGAAAUGUUGAGUGAAAUAGUUGUUUUCAAUCCAUUUUAAUCUAAGAGUUGAGUAUAAAAUGUGUUUGUGUAACUUGUCCUCAAGUUACAUGAAGAGUCACAUUAAAGACUCAUAAAACUCAUAAAAGUUGGCAAUGGUUACAAAAUGAAGAGUCUUGUGUCAUUGAAUAAUUUUUUUUGACUCCAUAACUUGUCCUCAAGUUAUGGAAGUUCAAGAGUCACUUCAUUAAAGAAAAAUAUGUAACCAUAAUUAAAUCCAUAAGUUAUAAAAUAAAGAAAAAGUUAGUUCUUUUAUUAGUUUAAAGUCUUCCAUAACUUGUCCUCAAGUUAUGGAACUUGAAGAGUUUUUGGAUUAAAACUACUUUAAACACAUAAGUUAUGGAAUUAAUUAGUUUUGAAUAGUUUCAAAACUUGCCCUCAAGUUUUGGAAUUUGAAAAGUUUUCAAGUAUGAAUACUUUAAUUCCAAGUUAGCCCUUAGAAUUUUAAAAGUUAAAAUUCAACCCUUAUACUUUAUAAUAUUAUAAGUUAAUAAUAUAUAUAUGUAUAAGAGUAAAGUCAGUCUUACCGCUAGUACGCCUCAUUCACGAAGCCGGUCUAUAAGGUGGGUAUAAGGUUGUUGCCUAUAAAAUGGCAACUUAAUGGGUGUCCACUCUCACCCACCGCUUGCUUGACUGGUGGAGGGUCGUUAGCCGAACGGGUUUGACAGGACUAGAAUUCUCCCUUCAUUAAAAGUAUUAAUGAUAAUACUAAGUAACUAAACUCUUAAUAAUACCCAAUCUUAGUUACUUAGGAAAAAUGUGAAUAAGGUGCUAAUCCAUGAAAUUACACUUUACACUUUGUCUAAGUCGUUAGUGGAGCGUGUGUGGUUAACCGGCACACUAACUUGGACUUAACAAGGUAGGUAAAGGGUGACUUAAUAUUUAUCAUAGUAUCGAUGGAGCGUGUGUGGUUAACCGGCACAUCGAUUGAGGGGUAAUUUAUUAAGGGUACCAAGUGAUUUGCAUGGUUACUUCACACCUUGUUUUGUGAUCCUCGGCAUCCCAGUCACAAAACCUGAAGGGCACACUCGAGAUUGAAACAUGCCUUUGAAAAGUUCAAUGAAUCUCAAAGAUCUAGGAGUUUCAAAACCAAUUAAAACCUAAUAAUACAUUUCGUUUAUCUUGGUGGAAAUUGGUGAAUCGUCAUUCACCUACCUUCAAAUAUUUUAUAGCUUGGAUUACGGCAUACCUCUUCUAAGUUAUAAAAUAGUUUGUUGGGUCCUAGCCUUAAUAUUUCAUAUUGGGUGUCAUAUUAAGGACUUUAAAUCAACUAUCUUGAAUAUCUCCCAAAAGAUGUCUGGUUUAGACACCUAUGAUCUUCCCAAAUCUCUUGAAACAAGGUUUCCUAAUGAAGAUGAUGUCCCAUGGAUAUCAUACUUCUUCACCUCUUCAAAUUAUUCUCCCUAACCCACAAGUUCUUGAAAAGUUUAAGGUCACUCAGGCCCUAUUAGCAAGGCAAGGUCUAGGUGUGGUCACAUCUUGGAGAUGUAGUCACAUAUUGACAAGCCGGGAGAGUUGGGUGUCAAAGUCUUGAGAAAGUUGGUGGUUCAACCACUUUCUAAGUCACAUAGUGAGUUCCUUUGGGACACCUAUGAAACAGACUAUGACAAGACCCUUAAUGAUCUUAUCUAUUUGCUAAGAUCAACUUCCUAAAACUUUAUGGACAUUGACAAUGAUGACAUUGGAUAUCCAGUAAAGCAUUCUCUUCCCAAUGGAAAGGGAUCGGCCAUAGUCAACUCGGUUGACCAAAUGGUAAAGAGAAAAGCUAAGUCUGUGAUAGUCCCGUGUACCAUUAUCAAAGGGUCCAUAUGUUUAUAUUGCCAAAGGAAGGGGCAUUGGUUGCGAAGCUGCCAAAUUUACCUAAGGAUGUUAAAGUCAAUAAGUUUGACUCUACUUCAGGUAAAGUCCACUAUCUAACUCUGUUAAGUUUCUAUUCUGAGAUUCUUGAUACAUGAUGUGACUGGGUCACAUGGUGAUGUUUUAAGAAUCAAAGAAAAGUGAAGAAACUUAAAGAAAGAAUAUGCUGAAUCUGAUGGCGUAGAUGGAUUUCUAUCGCAUAGUUUGAAGAUCGGAUUCUUGAGCUACUUCUUAGGAGUUAUGAGAUAUUGCUUAGGAAUAGAUAACAACAAGUUUUCAUAUGGAUUGUAAGGAUAAGUUUUUCCGCAAAGUUUUAAAAUAAAAGAAAAUUUUUUUGAUUUUAUUUAUUUUAAAAUAUCCUUACAAUGGCUUUUGAGGAAAAAUUGUUGCUUAUAUGAUUCCAUUAAGAGCAAGAGUGGAAAUAUGAAAUUGAUUCUUUCAUUUGUGGUAAUGUCUAGAUUUACCAAAUAAGGAAAGAUUCUCAUCACCCAAGUUUCAAUUGGACCGGAACUUGGAAUCAUGCAAGUUGUAUAGCAUGAUGAAUGAGAACUUUCAAGUUUUGGAAAAUUAAGACUAAUUACUUGUUCACAUGGAUGUGUGAGUCAAGUAAAGGACUAAGGGAUCGAGUACACAUUCUUGUGCACUGAUUAAGUCCACCACUAAAGAUCGAUAAGAAGAAUCAAAUAAGGCAGAAGGAUAAAAGUUUCUCAAAUCUGAAAAGAUGGGAGAGUACUUUAGUAUCAGUUUUGUGAUCAUCUUAAUGAUUAAGAAACCAUAUCAAAAUUAGUUCUCUAAGGAAAUCUUAGUGCAUUCUUAUGACUAAGAAGAGGAACUUGAAUUGUUGAAAUGGUUAAAUCAAGAAGAUGAGUCAUACUUCGUUCCAAUACAAGUCUUAGAGUCAUACUCCAAGAUUGUCAUUUGAGUGACAUGUCUUAAAGAAGGUUUAAAACACUUGUCAAAUGUAAGAGUAAAAGUUUUCUACUCUUGUACAUUUGAAAUUGGUAAGUUGUGAUGUUUUGGAUAAAACAAAGACCAACUUAGGCCAAUUGGGUAAAGUGUUUUUCUUGAUUAGAAUCCGCACUAUCUCUUGGAUGUUUGACAAGGGAGUCUUAUAUGUCAAGAGGACAGUGGGAGUCUUAAAGGUCUUGAAAGUCUCAAGAAAUAAUCAAGAAUAAAACCUAAAGUUCUUCACUAGCACACGACUUGAGGUUUAUAACCUAUCGUGUUGACAUAUCUGUGCCCAUUCCAGUUAAAGUUGGCUUUGCAUAUGAGUUCUUAGAGUUCUCAGUUUGUUGCAUAACAACUUGGAAGCAAUGGCAGGCCCUUGAGCUGCCAGGUGGCAAGAAGUUAAGAUUGAGUUCAAUCCAUAUGGUUUUGGAUUUGUCAUUAUCUUUGUCUUGUGAUUAUGGUUUGACAAAUUCAUAUGGGUAGGAACUCAUACACCAUAUAAAUCUAAGUGUCAUAAGGUUUCUCUCCGAUUCAUGAAAAUGAUGGUGAGGAAACGCUUUCACUAAGUAGAUUUUACGAAGAUAUCAAUUGUGUUAUUUGCAUUUUCAAAAGUCGUUAGUGGAGCGCGUGUGGUUAACCGGCACACUAACAUGGACUUGUGAGAAAUGGCAAAUGCCUAAGCAAUUGAGACCAUGAUUACGGUAUCCCUUUUCAUGGUUCUUGAAAUUGCUUAGACACACAGGUGAGCUAUCUACGGAAAGGGUGUAUGAAUCUAAAUUUCAGACUGUCCAGCUGAUUUCUGAGUACAUGUCAAAGCUAGUGGGAGCAUAAGUGUUAUGCUAAUAAUCAUCAUGUUAGUGGGAGCAUGAUAAUUAUGAUAAGUAUUGCAAGUUAGCAAUGUUAAUUAUAGAUUCCAUAUAACUUAUUAAAUCUAUCGGUUAGUUGGAAUGUCACACUUGGGGCACUAGGCACUCAGUUAGCAAUCUAAGAGUUGAGUUAAAUCCAUAAUUAAAUCCAUCGGUUAGUUGGAAUGGUUCAACAUAAGGAAAUUCUGUAUAUGGGUCCAUUAUUUGCGUUCUAAAAUUCGAUUAUGAUUACGGCAUCCCUUUUCAUAAUCUGAAUUAUGAGAACUUGGCAAAUAGAAAUGGAAAUAUUAUAGCAAAAGACUGGUUUAGUCUUUAUGUAAGACAUCAUGAAUCGUGUCCCAUAUGCUUCGGAUAUAGGAUCGAUUACAUGUGCUAUAUUCAUCCGUUCUAAAAUUUUCCAAAUGCCUGGGGCAUUA
rnacentral:lncRNA from 1 species